GGCUCGGUGGUGGAUGGUUCACACUUGUAUUCUGUGCUUGAGUUUGAUGAUAUAAGCAGGAGAUGCCUGUUCGAAUCAGGCCCGAGCCA